rnacentral:rRNA from 1 species
CAUUGUUAAGCACAGGGACACAUAGAGAUAUCCGAACCCGGGCGUUGGUUGACCCGGGCGCAAGGGACCGAACAUCAGUAGGGAAGUCGGAGAUGCUCUGUGGCGAGAAAAGCUGUGUGUAUUGAUUAGGCGCCCGUACCGCAAACCGACACAGGUAGAUGAGGAGAGAAUCCUAAGGCCAACGGGAGAAGGGUUGUUAAGGAACACGGCAAAUUGACCCCGUAACUUCGGGAUAAGGGGAGCCUCCUACGGGAGGCCGCAGUGAAUAGGCCCAAGCAACUGUUUACCAAAAACACAGGUCUCUGCUAAAUCGAAAGAUGACGUAUAGGGGCUGACGCCUGCCCGGUGCCGGAAGGUUAAGAGGAGAGCUUAGCGCAAGCGAAGGUUCGAAUUGAAGCCCCGGUAAACGGCGGCCGUAACGAUAACGGUCCUAAGGUAGCGAAAUUCCUUGUCAGGUAAGUUCUGACCCGCACGAAUGGCGUAAUGAUUUGGGCACUGUCUCAACAGCCCGCCCGGCGAAAUUGUAGUACUGGUGAAGAUGCCAGUUACCCGCAACUAGACGGAAAGACCCCAUGGAGCUUUACUGUAGCCUAAUACUGAAGAUCGGUAAUGCAUGUACAGGAUAGGUGGGAGCCAGCGAAACCCGGGCGUCAGCUCGGAUGGAGGCAACCUUGGAAUACCACCCUUGUAUUGCUGGUUUUCUAACCUGCGGCCAUGAAUCUGGUCGGGGGACACCGUUAGGUGGGCAGUUUGACUGGGGCGGUCGCCUCCAAAAGCGUAACGGAGGCGCUCAAAGGUUGGCUCAGCACGGACGGAAAACGUGCAUAGAGUGCAAACGCAUAAGCCAACUUGACUGCGAGACCGACGGGUCGAGCAGGUACGAAAGUAGGAGUUAGUGAUCCGGUGGUAUGUGAGUGGAAAUGCCAUCGCUCAACGGAUAAAAGCUACCCUGGGGAUAACAGGCUGAUCUCCCCAAGCGUCCACAGCGACGGGGAGGUUUGGCACCUCGAUGUCGGCUCGUCACAUCCUGGGGCUGUAUUCGGUCCCAAGGGUUCGGCUGUUCGCCGAUUAAAGUGGCACGCGAGCUGGGUUCAGAACGUCGUGAGACAGUUCGGUCCCUAUCUGUUGCGGGCGCAGGAGAUUUGAAGGGAGCUGUCCUUAGUACGAGAGGACCGGGAUGGACAGACCUCUGGUGCACCAGUUGUCGUGCCAACGGCACAGCUGGGUAGCUACGUCUGGACGAGAUAAACGCUGAAAGCAUCUAAGUGUGAAACUCCCCCUAAGAUAAGAUCUCCCAUCCAUUAGGAGUAAGGGACGACAGAGACUAUGUCGUUGGUAGGUCGGAAGUGUAAGUGCAGUAAUGCAUUGAGCUGACCGAUACUAAUAACCCGAGGGCUUGACC